rnacentral:rRNA from 1 species
AUUGAACGCUGGCGGCAUGCCUUACACAUGCAAGUCGAACGGCAGCAUGGAGAGCUUGCUCUCUGAUGGCGAGUGGCGAACGGGUGAGUAAAGCAUCGGAACGUACCGUGUAGUGGGGGAUAACGUAGCGAAAGUUACGCUAAUACCGCAUACGCACUGAGGUGGAAAGCAGGGGAUCGUAAGACCUUGCGCUAUACGAGCGGCCGAUGUCAGAUUAGCUAGUUGGUAGGGUAAAGGCCUACCAAGGCGACGAUCUGUAGCGGGUCUGAGAGGAUGAUCCGCCACACUGGGACUGAGACACGGCCCAGACUCCUACGGGAGGCAGCAGUGGGGAAUUUUGGACAAUGGGGGCAACCCUGAUCCAGCCAUGCCGCGUGAGUGAAGAAGGCCUUCGGGUUGUAAAGCUCUUUCGGCCGGGAAGAAAUCGCACAGGCUAAUACCCUGUGUGGAUGACGGUACCGGCAUAAGAAGCACCGGCUAACUACGUGCCAGCCGCCGCAGUAACAC